rnacentral:rRNA from 1 species
UACGGAGGAUGCAAGCGUUAUCCGGAAUGAUUGGGCGUAAAGCGUCCGCAGGUGGCUAUGUAAGUCUGCUGUUAAAGAGUCUGGCUCAACCAGAUAAAGGCAGUGGAAACUACAUGGCUAGAGUGCGUUCGGGGCAGAGGGAAUUCCUGGUGUAGCGGUGAAAUGCGUAGAGAUCAGGAAGAACACCGGUGGCGAAGGCGGUUGCCUGGAGCUUUGCUGACGCUGAGGCGCGAAAGCGUGGGGAGCGAUCCGG